CUGGGGCGCCGGGCGACCGGACGCGUGGCCGCCACUACCGAGACGGUCUGGCCCCGCGGGCCUCGGACUCCCUUAUCAGGAGUCGCUUUUCGGUCGUAUGCCUUGGCCCCUUUACGCUUCGCUGGCAAUGCGAGCACGCUCCCAGCACCCCCGCACACUGGUGCACGCACGCUCAGCUUGUUUUGCACCGUGCCUACACACUUAGCGUGCUCCUGCUGUUAGGCCCCCACCCUGCACGUCAUAGCGGUGGCCCAACCUGUCCUUGCCUAGUCUCCGGCCCGGCGGCCGGCACUCCGACGCGAGCUCCCCUCCUCCCCGCCCAGCAGCCCUACUCGCGCGCGGAAGUGCGUCGCAGGAGGAAAAGCACCCUCCCCCCCACCCGGUGUCCUGGGAGGCGAACCCCCUGCAGUUCACGAGAAAGAAAACCUUUCACCAUAACCCUGAGCAGAAAAUAUUUUCAAGUAUUAUCUCCAUCCCACUGAUAAGAGAACUGAGCUGCAAAAAGCGUGAAUUCAGGCUCAGUGGCGUCCCGGCUUUUCUGUGGACAUAAGCUUUCAACUCAUUCGAGUAAAUACCAAGGAGCGUGAUUUCUAGAUCAUAUGGAGAGAGGCAGAGAGAGAGAGAGAGAGAGAG